GUGGGGAAUAUUGGGCAAUGGGCGAAAGCCUGACCCAGCAACGCCGCGUGAAGGAAGAAGGUCUUCGGAUCGUAAACUUCUAUCCUUGGUGAAGAUAAUGACGGUAGCCGAGAAGGAAGCCCCGGCUAACUACGUGCCAGCAGCCGCGGUAAUACGUAGGGGGCAAGCGUUGUCCGGAAUGAUUGGGCGUACAGGGCGCGUAGGCGGCCUGGUAAGUCUGGAGUGAAAGUCCUGCUUUUAAGGUGGGAAUUGCUUUGGAUACUGUCGGGCUUGAGUGCAGGAGAGGUAAGUGGAAUUCCCGGUGUAGCGGUGAAAUGCGUAGAGAUCGGGAGGAACACCAGUGGCGAAGGCGACUUACUGGACUGUAACUGACGCUGAGGCGCGAAAGUGUGGGGAGCAAACAGGAUUAGAAACCCUAGUAGUCC
rnacentral:rRNA from 1 species